rnacentral:rRNA from 1 species
UUCGCAAUGCCCGAAAGGGUGAACGAGCGACGCCGCGUGGAGGAUGAAGGCCUUCGGGUUGUAAACUCCUGUCGAGGGGGAGGAAGGGGCAACCUUGACCGAUCCCUGGAGGAAGCACGGGCUAAGUUCGUGCCAGCAGCCGCGGUAAGACGAACCGUGCGAACGUUAUUCGGAAUCACUGGGCUUAAAGCGCGUGUAGGCGGAUGGGAACGUCGGUCUUUGAAAGCCCCCGGCUCAACCGGGGAAGCGGAGCCGAAACGACCGAUCUGGAGGGACGUAGGGGGACCUGGAACUUCCGGUGGAGCGGUGAAAUGCGUUGAGAUCGGAAGGAACGCCCGUGGCGAAAGCGGGGUCCUGGACGUCUGCUGACGCUGAGACGCGAAAGCUAGGGGAGCAAAUGGGAUUAGAUACCCCGGUAGUCCUAGCCGUAAACGAUGGGCACUAAGUAGAGGGGUUUU